rnacentral:lncRNA from 1 species
AUGAUGACAAACCGAACAACCAUGUUGGCAGUGAAUAAGGUGUUUCACUCAUGUCUGAUUCUUUGUGACAUUGUUUGGGAUUUUCUUGGAAAAAAGACUGGAGUGGUCCACUAUACCACCCAGGCAUCUCCCUAGUGAAGAGAACAAUAGUAAUUAUCCUAGAAAUUUGGAGACCACAUUAUAAGUCUGGUGUGGAUGGCAAAGUUAAGGAGGGAGAGGAGCAAGAAGCAUAGAUCCUGGAAGCAUCUAGCCUCUUCAUCCUACAGGAGAGGAAACUGACACCUUACUUAAGGCCACACUGUCACUCAGUGGUAGAACCAAGACUAGAGCCUAGCUCAAUUGUUCAUCAGACUGUGUUUUUUCUGCUAAUUACAAAAUAAACUAUAGUAGAUAUUUUAAAUAAAGCCCUUA